rnacentral:rRNA from 1 species
GACAGAGGGGGCUAGCGUUGUUCGGAAUUACUGGGCGUAAAGCGCACGUAGGCGGCUUUGUAAGUUAGAGGUGAAAGCCCGGGGCUCAACUCCGGAAUUGCCUUUAAGACUGCAUCGCUAGAAUUGUGGAGAGGUAAGUGGAAUUCCGAGUGUAGAGGUGAAAUUCGUAGAUAUUCGGAAGAACACCAGUGGCGAAGGCGACUUACUGGACACAUAUUGACGCUGAGGUGCGAAAGCGUGGGGAGCAAACAGG